rnacentral:misc_RNA from 1 species
CAACCCUUAAGCCUAGCUUAGCGUUGGGAGACUGCGCUAAACCGCAGCUCCUCAAAACCAGUGGCGGAGUCCUCUGUGCUCUGAGCGUAGUAAUCUUUAUCUCGCUUGUAUGAACGCAGUGGUCGACGGCCAUAAACCGCACCUCUCCUCGGGGAGGGCACCUUUUUAAU